rnacentral:lncRNA from 1 species
AGCUGUUCUAACACCUCCUGCCUGCCAGUACUGACUCUUUAUGCAUGGGGGCUUCCGGCUUAUCUAUACUUCGAAGACAGUGAACUAGGUUAACCAGAUAUAGGACUCCUCUGUCUUGCUACGAUGGACAGCCACAAGGAUUCACUUGAAUAAAAGAAGCAACAGUGGGUGCCAGGCUGUUUGUGCUGUGGAUUGAAUGGCGGGCCUUGCACAGAAAUGUGCUGUUUUGUUAUACAUUUAUUACAAAGAAUCUCACAAAAAGAAAAUAUUUCAAAAAGAAUGCCAGGCUAAAGAACCUCCACCUGGAGAACUGGGGGAAGGCAGGGCAAUAAUAUCAACGUCAACAUACAGCACCCUCUGGCCAUACUUUAGCAGUUCCAGGAUGGCCAAGACGACAUCGUUGAUGUAACAGAAACCUGAGGCGUCAGACUUCUUUACAUGAUGCAGUCCCCCAGCCUGGCUCGCAGUGAUGUCCCUCUGAUGUGUAUCAAGUUUCACAGCACUUUCCAAAGAGCCACCAAUAGACAACUGACAACUCAGACAGGCCAUCGAUUACCGGGAAGUCCUCACCAACGCGGAAUCUCUGCAUCUGCUUGCUGUAUUUAGACACAUUAUCUGGGCGAAUAGAGCACAAGAGUUUAAUGUAGUCAUCACUGUGGGACUUGGUCAUCUCCUCAGCGUUGGCUCUGUGAGGACGAUAGAUUUCCAUUUUUUGGUAGAGAUGUAGUUGAGCUGCAAAUCACGAGUCAUGUGGAUUCGGUGAGGCUUCAUUGGGUGGCCCUGUCCAUAAGAUAGUUUCCAACAUCCCUGUUAACAGACGUUCCUCUUGCCCUGAGUCUGUGCCAUCUUUCUCACCACCCAGUGCUCCUGCCAGUCUGAUGUUUUAAUAUUUUUAGAUGGUGAUGCUUUGAGUUUAAAUGGCCUUUGACAAAUUCUAUCCUAAUUUCUAAUUAAGACAAGGAAAGAAAACAAAGAUGGAUAAGGACCAUAAAGUAAUGAAUGGACUGGAAACAGAAGUAAACUUAUUCAACAAUAAAA